AAAAAAAAAAAAAAAAAAAAACUGGAUACUGAAAAAGACCAAGAAAAAGUGUGUGUGUUUGUGUGUGUAUAUUAAAAUAAACACGCAUUAAAGUACGAUAAAAUCAUUCUGACACUUUUCUGAAGAUUCAUUUCACACAAGAAACCAGAUUUUUCACAUGUAGAUAAAAUAAAAGGGGAUGAUUACAAUGCAAGAGCAGGAUUAAGCUCCUCUUCUUCUUAAUACUAAAUAGGGCUUUAAAUUUUAACUGGAUGUAGAAAAAAAAAAAAAUAGAAAGGAAAAAACAGAAAUGUAUAUGAAAUCCGAAAGAAAUUUG
rnacentral:misc_RNA from 1 species